UAAUUAUUGGUGACAUCACUUUUUUAUUUGUUACAUGUCCUGCCUGUUAAGGGAGCCUUGGUACAACUGCUGGCCCACUCUUCAGGCAACUGUUAAUUACAAAAGAAUUCCAUAGGAAGGACUUCCAGGAGAGGACGAGGGUGUCUCAUCUGUGCCAGGCACUCGGCAGGAGCAUGUGAGGAGUGAACUCUGGCCUGCUCAGUCUAUUUAGCAAGCUCUGAGAUGUCUUACAACAUCCCACUGGGAUCUCCAGAGCCCACUUCACUCCUCAGGAAGUGCAGGCAAAGGCAGGAAUGGACUUCAAAUGGGAAUCUAAACUGAGGUGGCUGCAGAGCAACUGCUCCUUCCAUAUCACACCAGGAGUGCCUUUAUCCCACCAACCAACCCUGCUGACAGCCCAGGGAGGAGGGGAAAGGGGCAGCAUAUUUCAUGCUGCAGCCCCCUGGAUUUUCUGCUAUCCCAUUUGAGCACUCCAGGAAAAUUUUGCUGCAUCACAAGCUGGAAG
rnacentral:lncRNA from 1 species